ensembl:rRNA 5S_rRNA 5S ribosomal RNA
GCUUACGGCCAUACCACCCUGAACACGCCCGAUCUCGUCCGAUCUCGGAAGCUAAGCACGGUCGGGCCUGGUUAGUACUUGGAUGGGAGACCGCCUGGGAAUACCAGGUGCUGUAAGCU